rnacentral:rRNA from 1 species
UCCUACGGGAGGCAGCAGUGGGGAAUAUUGCACAAUGGGGGGAACCCUGAUGCAGCAACGCCGCGUGAGUGAAGAAGUAUUUCGGUACGUAAAGCUCUAUCAGCAGGGAAGAAAAUGACGGUACCUGACUAAGAAGCCCCGGCUAACUACGUGCCAGCAGCCGCGGUAAUA